rnacentral:rRNA from 1 species
ACAGACGAGUUUGAUCCUGGCUCAGAUUGAACGCUGGCGGCAUGCUUUACACAUGCAAGUCGAACGGUAGACCCGUUUCGGGGGUUGAGAGUGGCGAACGGGUGAGUAAUGCAUCGGAACGUGCCCAGUCGUGGGGGAUAACGCAGCGAAAGUUGUGCUAAUACCGCAUACGACCUGAGGGUGAAAGCGGGGGACCGGUAACGGCCUCGCGCGAUUGGAGCGGCCGAUGUCUGAUUAGCUAGUUGGUGGGGUAAAGGCUCACCAAGGCGACGAUCAGUAGCGGGUCUGAGAGGAUGAUCCGCCACACUGGGACUGAGACACGGCCCAGACUCCUACGGGAGGCAGCAGUGGGGAAUUUUGGACAAUGGGGGAAACCCUGAUCCAGCCAUGCCGCGUGCGGGAAGAAGGCCUUCGGGUUGUAAACCGCUUUCGGACAGAAAGAAAUCGCAUGGAUUAAUACUCUGUGUGGAUGACGGUACUGUAAGAAGAAGCACCGGCUAACUACGUG